rnacentral:rRNA from 1 species
GACGGAAGGUGCAAGCGUUGCUCGGAAUCACUGGGCGUAAAGGGUGCGUAGGCGGCCGUGCAAGUCUGGCGUGAAAGCCCCGGGCUCAGCCCGGGAAGUGCGCUCGAAACUGCGCGGCUCGAGUGCCGGAGGGGAGAGUGGAAUUCCUGGUGUAGCGGUGGAAUGCGCAGAUAUCAGGAGGAACACCAAUAGCGAAGGCAGCUCGCUGGGACGUUACUGACACUGAGGCGCGAAAGCGUGGGGAGCGAACAGG